UGGAGCAGUACUGGCCCUCCAGUUCACAGAGUGAGUGGUGCUACUUUGUUGUUCAUCUGCAGAAAAGAAUUUACAUUUACACUAUUACAUAUGAAAAUGUAAUUCUCAGAGUCUGCUGCCUGUUCCUCCUGUACAGGCAGAGUGUGUAAACCCUGUCCACAGGGCUGGUCACAGUUCUCUUCCAAGUGUUACUACUUCUCUACUGAGAAGAAGAACUGGACGGACAGUCGCAGUGACUGCAUUAAAAGGGGAGCUGUCCUGGUGAUUAUAGAGAGUGAAGAGGAACAGCGGUUUAUCACCAACAUAGAAAAAAUCCAUACCUGGAUUGGACUGAGUCGCUCAGAAUUUAAGAGCAACUGGCUCUGGGUGGAUGGAACCCCUCUGCAGAAAGGAUUCUGGGGGAGUGGAAAGGCAGAGGAUCGAAGGUUUGAUUGUGCCAUGAUUAAGAAGAAUGGAUGGGAGGCUUAUUACUGUUCUAAUAUGGAGAAAUGGAUCUGUGAAACGAAUGCUCUGCUCCCCUAAACCAUUUUUUUCAUUGUAUGUUUUUGGUUAUUUUACCUUGUGAGAGGCAGUUGAACAUGGCAGGUUUGACAGUCAAACACAGGACCAAUAAGCAGACCACAAUGUUGCCUUUAUGUUGGAAAUACAUGAAAUACAUACAUACUGCUAUUUUACCUAGAAAUGUGUCUGUGAGACUAAGCUUUUUUAAAUGCACUGAAAUGACUGUACGUGAUGAGUAUAUUCAAGCUAUCACAUUAUUUGUUCUGGACAUACUGUAAGUUUAAAAAAAUUAAAGAACAUAUAUUUAAAAUGGUCCUCAUUAUGUGGUUGUGAUACUGUACCUUUAUAUUAAAAUUGAGAACAGCUGUCACUUUGCUACUAAA